CUACAGACCUAAACACACCUGGCCUCAUCUGGUCUCAGAAACUAAGUAGUAUUGAGCCUGACUAGCACUGGAAUGGGAGACGGAGAGAGAGAGAGAGGGAGU
rnacentral:rRNA from 1 species